GGAAGAAUGGCUCUCCUGCUCUUCCCUCUUCCCAUCUCAGCCCUACACCAAACUGAGGGAUGCAACAGACAGAUGGUGACAGGUCACUCCUCCUCACGGUCAAAGGUACCAUCCUAACACCCAGCCCACUUAAGCAAGAGCGGGGGAACAAGAGGAAGCAGCUCUGACCUCCUGCCUCGGCCUCUGUCCAAGCUGGGACUUUCUUUCCACCCCUGUGGCUGGCAGUGGCGUCCCUCAGCCCUGGCCCCUUCCGUUUACAUUUUGUUUUGUAGUUCAGACCGUCCUCAUUUAACCCGAGUCCCAG
rnacentral:lncRNA from 1 species